GCCCACCAUGGACAGGCUGUGCUCCAUUCUUCUCCUGCUGACCUUUCCGGCCUGGGUCCUGUCCCAGGUCACCCUGAAGGAGUCUGGCCCUGGGCUGGUGACCCCCACCCAGACCCUCAGGCUGACCUGCUCCUUCUCUGGUUUCUCACUGAGCACAUCUGGUAUGGGUGUAGCCUGGAUCCGACAGCCCCCAGGGAAGGGCCUGGAGUGGUUGGCAAAUUUUUGGUGGGAUGAUACUAAGUACUACAACUCAGCCCUAAAGAGCCGGCUCACAAUUUCCAAGGACACCAACAACCAGGUGUCCCUCACGGUGACCAGCAUGGACCCUGGAGACACAGCCACAUAUUACUGUGCAAGAGCAGCACAGAGACUCAGCUUUGACGGCCUCCUGUACACAAUCAGAGGCUGGGUCUGUGCUCAGGCCCCUCUCAGAGCUGCUGUGGAUACUUCCUCCAGAAGUGCUCACAGUGGCGCUGUGUCCUCAUGUGUCACGAAGAGCCUGAUGAGGAAAUCUGCACGUUGUCAGGACUUCCCCUGGGGCCGUCAUGACGCCUCUUACUUGGAGACCCACUUAUGA